rnacentral:rRNA from 1 species
GUGCCAGCAGCCGCGGUAAUACGUAGGGUGCGAGCGUUGUCCGGAAUUACUGGGCGUAAAGAGCUCGUAGGUGGUUUGUCGCGUUGUUCGUGAAAACUCACAGCUUAACUGUGGGCGUGCGGGCGAUACGGGCAGACUAGAGUACUGCAGGGGAGACUGGAAUUCCUGGUGUAGCGGUGGAAUGCGCAGAUAUCAGGAGGAACACCGGUGGCGAAGGCGGGUCUCUGGGCAGUAACUGACGCUGAGGAGCGAAAGCGUGGGGAGCGAACAGGAUUAGAUACCCUGGUAGUCCACGCCGUAAACGGUGGGUACUAGGUGUGGGUUCCUUCCUUGGGAUCCGUGCCGUAGCUAACGCAUUAAGUACCCCGCCUGGGGAGUACGGCCGCAAGGCUAAAACUCAAAGGAAUUGACGGGGGCCCGCACAAGCGGCGGAGCAUGUGGAUUAAUUCGAUGCAACGCGAAGAACCUUACCUGGGUUUGACAUGCACAGGACGCCGGCAGAGAGUCGGUUCCCUUGUGGCCUGUGUGCAGUGAUGCAUGAAGGGCGAUUCGU